UGGGUGAUCUGCCCUGCACUUUGGGAUAAGCCUGGGAAACUGGGUCUAAUACCGAAUAUGACCAUGGGAUGCAUGUCUCGUGGUGGAAAGCUUUUGCGGUGUGGGAUGGGCCCGCGGCCUAUCAGCUUAUUGGUGGGUAAUGGCCCACCAAGGCGACGACGGGUAGCCGGCCUGAGAGGAUGAUCACGCCACACGUGGGACUGAGACCACGGCCCAGACUCCGUAGGA
rnacentral:rRNA from 1 species